UACGAAGGGGGCUAGCGUUGUUCGGAAUUACUGGGCGUAAAGCGCACGUAGGCGGAUACUUAAGUCAGGGGUGAAAUCCCGGGGCUCAACCCCGGAACUGCCUUUGAUACUGGGUAUCUCGAGUCCGGAAGAGGUGAGUGGAAUUCCGAGUGUAGAGGUGAAAUUCGUAGAUACUCGGAGGAACACCAGUGGCGAAGGCGGCUCACUGGUCCGGUACUGACGCUGAGGUGCGAAAGCGUGGGGAGCAAACAGG
rnacentral:rRNA from 1 species